GAUGAACGCUGGCGGCGUGCCUAAUACAUGCAAGUCGAGCGAACAGACGAGGAGCUUGCUCCUCUGACGUUAGCGGCGGACGGGUGAGUAACACGUGGAUAACCUACCUAUAAGACUGGGAUAACUUCGGGAAACCGGAGCUAAUACCGGAUAAUAUAUUGAACCGCAUGGUUCAAUAGUGAAAGACGGUUUUGCUGUCACUUAUAGAUGGAUCCGCGCCGCAUUAGCUAGUUGGUAAGGUAACGGCUUACCAAGGCAACGAUGCGUAGCCGACCUGAGAGGGUGAUCGGCCACACUGGAACUGAGACACGGUCCAGACUCCUACGGGAGGCAGCAGUAGGGAAUCUUCCGCAAUGGGCGAAAGCCUGACGGAGCAACGCCGCGUGAGUGAUGAAGGUCUUCGGAUCGUAAAACUCUGUUAUUAGGGAAGAACAAAUGUGUGUGUAACUAUGCACGUCUUGACGGUACCUAAUCAGAAAGCCACGGCUAACUACGUG
rnacentral:rRNA from 1 species